rnacentral:rRNA from 1 species
GUAGGUGGCAAGCGUUGUCCGGAAUUAUUGGGCGUAAAGCGCGCGCAGGCGGUUCUUUAAGUCUGAUGUGAAAGCCCACGGCUCAACCGUGGAGGGUCAUUGGAAACUGGAGAACUUGAGUACAGAAGAGGAACGCGGAAUUCCACGUGUAGCGGUGAAAUGCGUAGAGAUGUGGAGGAACACCAGUGGCGAAGGCGGCUUUCUGGUCUGUAACUGACGCUGAGGCGCGAAAGCGUGGGGGAGCAAACAGGAUUAGAUACCCUGGUAGUCCACGCCGUAAACCGAUGAGUGCUAAGUGUUAGGGGGUUUCCGCCCCUUAGUGCUGCAGCUAACGCAUUAAGCACUCCGCCUGGGAGUACGGCCGCAAGGCUG